GGAAUCUUCCACAAUGGGCGCAAGCCUGAUGGAGCAACACCGCGUGAGUGAAGAAGGGUUUCGGCUCGUAAAGCUCUGUUGUUAGAGAAGAACGUGCGUGAGAGCAACUGUUCACGCAGUGACGGUAUCUAACCAGAAAGUCACGGCUAACUACGUGCCAGCAGCCGCGGUAAUACGGAAGGUCCGGGCGUUAUCCGGAUUUAUUGGGUUUAAAGGGAGCGCAGGCUGAUUGUUAAGCGUGACGUGAAAUGUAGCCGCUCAACGGCUGAACUGCGUCGCGAACUGGCAGUCUUGAGUGAGUACGACGUCAGCGGAAUUCGUGGUGUAGCGGUGAAAUGCUUAGAUAUCACGAAGAACCCCGAUUGCGAAGGCAGCUGACGAGUCCUUUACUGACGCUAAAGCUCGAAGGUGCGGGUAUCGAACA
rnacentral:rRNA from 1 species